rnacentral:lncRNA from 1 species
GGUCUGGAACCAUGAUAUAGUAGCUACAGUAUAAGCCAAUUGGCAGUACUCAGCUUCAGUGCUAGAGCGAGAAACACCACCUUGUUUCUUGGAACUCUAUGGGACCAAAUUUAAACUAAUAUAUGGACAAUAGCCUCUGGUACAACGGCGACUGACGGGGUCUCCAGCAUAAUCAACAUCAGAAUAGGUUGUGAGAGUGAGAGGGCCAGGUUUGUAGAAGAUGUCAUGAGUAGCAGUCCCAAUGAGAUAACGCAAGAUGCGCUUAACAACAAGCCAAUGUGAGGUGGUGGGUUGGUGUAUGAACUAGCACACCUGGUUCAUAGAAAAAGUAAUAUCAAGACGAGUUAAUGUGAGAUAUUGAAGAGCACCUACCACACUUCGAUAUUCAGUAGGAUCCUCCAAAGAGUCACACUGGAAAGCCAUAAAAACUAGUCAAUCUCCAGUGUUCAGGAUUGCCCUUUCCUCCCACAAGAGCAUCGAUGUGGUGUAGGGAUAAGGAGCGAAUGUACAAAUCAAAAUCUUGCUUCCAAAGUAAACAAAGCCCACCAUACCUGCCUACAGAAUUCACAGCAAAAAAAAAAAAAAAAAAAUCAAAUCAAAUCAAAUCCCAAAGAAAGUUGUAAAUAAUAAAAAACAUUACCAUUGCAUCUUGUUUCACACAAGAAAACAAUGGAAGGAGCUUUUUCAUCAACAAUGUGGCGGAGUGCUACACCAAGUUUCCUCUUAUCACCAAUAACAGGAAGUUUUCCACAUUAAACACAAGAACCCCAAUGUUACGAGGACCUUAUGGAUAUCCUACGUCUUCUCUUCUUUGUCGCAUGUUUGGAUGUCCUUUCGAUUAUGGGAUUUAGAUUAAAGGGGUCAGAUCCCAGAGACAAAUGGACGUUAGAUGGCCCCGGUGUAGAGAUAAUCGGCUAGUUAGAGGCUUGGUCCAACCUAGGUAUUGAAAGCUCAAGUGGGCCUAAAUUGGGGGAGUUGUGCUGGCCCAAACUCUUUGGGCCCAUGUGGGACAAGGAGAGGCCACCGUUAUGACUAGGUAGAUCAUCCAAAUCAUCAUCGAGGUCGAGGGCAAUCUCAUUAAGAUCCCAAUGAAAUAGAAAAUAGGACUUUGGACAAUUAUCCCCAUUAGGCCAUGUUUGGCAGGUCUCACUGGACUGGACUGGGUUAAAUAGCACUCAAAACCCAUGUUUGGUAAAAGGCGGGACUAACUUAAAUGAGAUUGUAUUGUCCAAUAGUGAAAAAAAUGUCUCACUCACUCGUCUAAUAUAGUGAGCCUGAAAAGUAGUUCGCUAAAUGACACGCUCGCUAAAUAGAACACGUGAGUCUGACGCCUCUCUUUAAAAAACAUCAUAAUUUUAUUUGUUUUCUUUUAAUUCUUGUUUUAGAUCUUUGAAUGGAAUUUUUUUUCACAACAUUUAUUUAUUUAUAGCUAAAAAGCCUUAAUUAAAUUUAAAUAUUACAAUAAUUAUUUUGAUAUUAAAUCAAACUAUAAUAAUUUACAAAUGUUUGAUAUAUGGUUUUUUUAUAUUGAAAUAAGUUUAAUAAUUCAUGAUGUGAUGCUUUCUUUAUCACAAGCAAUUUUUACCUUAUCAAAUUAUAUAAUUUUUUUUUUGGUACAGAGGAGGGCUGAAGCCCCAAACCAAAAAGAAACUAAACAGAAACUAAACGAGGUCUAACAGCACUUCGAACAUCAGCAGCUAACAUAUCACUAAGAAAAGUUGGGGCCUCCAGAAACACAUGAAGACCAGGAGCAAGAUCAUAACUCUUCGCAGCGAGAGCAUCUGCUGCACAAUUUUGUUGACGGAAAAUAUGCUUCAUAGAGCAGCACCAAUCCUCAUGAAUCUUCAUUUUGCAGCAAUUGAUAAUACUAAAGAGAGGGUGUGUUGACACAAUAGGACUGUUUAACAAAGCCACAGCAGAGGUAGCAUCACACUCAAUCUCCACUGUGCGAAAACCAGCACCCCAGGCCAUAUUAAGCCCCCAAAAAAUUCCCCAUAACUCAGCCUCAAUGAUGGAACCAUAGCCCAGAUUCACAGAGAAACCUUUGAUCCAACUCCCACAAGAGUCUCUUAACAAACUCCCUGCCUCAAUAAGACUAGAAGAAUUAAUUCUGCUACCAUCAGUGUUGACUUUACAAACACCAAAAAGAGGGGCCAUCCAAUGGAGAUGAACAACACUACGCUCAGGGAGAAAAGCCAUCGGAUUACAAGCAGAAAACCACUCCAAAGCACACUGAUAAAUCAUCAAAUGAGGUUCAGCAGGCAAGAGAAAAUUCUGAUAAACCACUUUACAUCUCCAUUUCCAAAUAAACCAGAGGAAGAUGGCAAAAACCAAAUACCAUGGCAGGCCAUGGACAACAAACCUCUUAGAUUUCAAGUUAAGCAGCAGCCAAUCAUCAUAAUCAUCCAUCAACUGACCAGCUUCCACUCUCCCAAACCCAAAGCUAUUCCAAAUCGCAAGAGAGGCAGUACAAUCCUUAAAGAGAUGAGCACAAGAUUCCAAAGGACAAUCACAUCUAGGACAACCAGCAACAUUAGUGAGUUUUCUCUUCAGUCUUUGAGCAUUUGUAAGUAACUUCUUAUGACAUAGCAGCCAGAGGAAGGUCUUAACCUUUGGCGGAACAUGAAGCUUCCAAAUAAAGUCCCAUUUCCAAUUAGCACUACCCUCAUCCAGAUAAAAGGUGCUAUAGGUAGUUUUUACAGAAAAUUGGUCAUUAGAGGUGAGCUGCCAGAUGCAUUUAUCCUCCCCACUACCAUUAUAGCCAGCAUGAGUACUAAGGAUCAAGUUGACAAUAUUUAUAGACAAGCAUUCCAUUAAGCAAUUGAAAUCCCAAACCCCAUCCUCCAAAAAAUCACUAACAUUUAAUUGAAGCAUGUCGUCAGAUAAAUCAAUCAAAGCAAACUGCUGUAAAGGACCACAACUAAGCCAUCUAUCAGUCCAGAACAAGAUAUCGUCCCCAGACCCCACAUGCCAUUUAACACCUGCAGAAAGAACUUGAGCACCAUAUAAGAUACCCUUCCAAACAUUGGAACUACUCUGAAGCUGCAGAUCUUUAGCCGCAAGGAUAUCACAACGCCUUAGAUACUUAGCAUUAAACACUUGAGCCCAAAGACCUUGCUCACGUUGCAGUAAGCGCCAACUGGUUUUAGCAAGGGGAGCUUGAUUCAUCCAAGCAGAUUUUUUAAUACCUAAUCUGCCAGCAAAUUUGGGCUUACAGACAGUGUCCCAAUUAACCAAGUGAACCUUUGCUUGAUCAGUAGAAUGCCCCCAUAAAAAAUUUCUGUUUAACUGAUCAAGUUUCAUACAGAUGGAAACUGGCAGUUUAGCUGAUUGCAUGGAAUAAAUAGGAAUAGCAUGGGUGACUAAUUGCAACAGGGUUAAAUGACCAGCCAUAGAGAGAGUAUGACUUUUCCAAGAAGAUAACCUCCUUUGGACUUUAUCAAUAAGCUCUUGUUAAGUAGCUUUAGUGACACGUCUGUGUAUAAGAGGAACACCAAGAUACUUGACAAGACAAGUAGUGAGAGGGGAACCACAUAUAGUUGCAAUAUCCUGAGCCAACUCAGAAGAAGUAUUUGGAGAAACAUAGAUCAUAGAUUUCUCAAAACUCACCUUCUGACCAGAGAGACUACAAAAAUCAUCUAAACAUUUCUUCAUAACAAUAGCCUGAUUGAUAGAAGCUUUUCCAAAGAGAAUCAAAUCAUCCGCAAAGAAGAGAUGAGAGAUAAAAGGAUCGCUUUGGCAUAUCUGCACCGGCUUCCAAGCCUUGUCUUGAACAGCCUGCUGAAUAAUAUGCGAAAGCUUUUCCAUACACAGAACAAAGAGAUAAGGGGAAAGAGGAUUCCCUUGCCGAAUGCCACAUUUACGAGAGAAAGUAUCAGUUAAUUCACCAUUUAGAAUCGCCUUAUAACACACAGAAUUAAUACACUGCAUUAAAAGCUCAAGAAUUCUCCCACAAUUCCCAACCUCCCAAAGCACUUCUCUAAUGAAAUCCCAAUUUAACUGAUCAUAAGCUUUGCAUAAGUCAAUUUUCCAAGCAAAGGAAGCCUUCCUCCCUUUAGAACUUUUAAACUUAUGCAGCAUUUCUUGAGCCACAAUAAUAUUAUCAACAAUUUGUCUCCCUGGGACAAAGCUCACUUGAUUAGGACUGACCAAACUAGCCAUACAAGGCCGAAGCCGAGCAACAAGAAUCUUAGAAAUCACUUUAUAGAGGGUGUUACAAAGACUGAUGAGGCGGAGCUGAGACAUAGAGACAGGUCUCUCAACUUUAGGCACCAAAGCUAUCAAUGUCUCAUUGAUAUUCUCAGGAAGAGAAGCAGUUAAAAAACAAUCCUUCACCAAAGCAGUAAUAUCAGCAGAGCACAUCCCCCAAUAUUUUUGAUAAAAGAGGGCAGGAAAUCCAUCAGGUCCAGGAGUUUUUAAUCCCCCAAUAGCAAACAGACUAUUUUUAACUUCAUCGUCAGUAACCUCACAACUUAAGCCCUCUAGAUCCGUAUCCGCCAACCUUGGAAAAAGAUGAGGGAGCAAUCUAUAGUCAUCAACCAAAACAGUUUCACCAAACAGCCCUUGGAAAUAAUUGACAAUAGUUAGUUUCAUUCCAAUAUUAUUAGUGAUCCAAAUUCCAGCCUCAUUAUUCAGACCUUCAAGUUUAAUCCUCCUCCUCCUUAUGACAGUAGAUAUAGUAGCUACAGUAUAAGCCAAUUGGCAGUACUCAGCUUCAGUGCUAGAGCGAGAAACACCACCUUAUUUCUUGGAACUCCGCCAUGAGACCAAAUUUAAACUAAUAUAUGGACAAUAGCCUCUGGUACAACGGCAAGUGACGGGUCUCCAGCAUAAUCAACAUCAGAAUAGGUUGUGAGAGUGAGAGGGCCAGGUUUGUAGAAGAUGUCAUGAGUAGCAGUCCCAAUGAGAUAACGCAAGAUGCGCUUAACAACAAGCCAAUGUGAGGUGGUGGGUUGGUGUAUGAACUAGCACACCUGGUUCAUAGAAAAAGUAAUAUCAAGACGAGUUAAUGUGAGAUAUUGAAGAGCACCUACCACACUUUGAUAUUCAGUAGGAUCCUCCAAAGAGUCACGCUGGAAAGCCAUAAAAACUAGUCAAUCUCCAGUGUUCAGGAUUGCCCUUUCCUCCCACAAGAGCAUCAAUAUGGUGUAGGGAUAAGGAGCGAAUGUACAAAUCAAAAUUUUGCUUCCAAAGUAAACAAAGCCCACCAGACCUGCCUACAGAAUUCAUAGAAAAAAAAAAAAAUCAAAUCCCAAAGAAAGUUUUAAAUAAUAAAAAACAGUACCAUUGCAUCUUGUUUCACACAAGAAAACAAUGGAAGGAGCUUUUUCAUCAACAAUGUGGCGGAGUGCUUGAACACCAAGUUUCCUCUUAUCACCAAUAACAGGAAGUUUUCCACAUUAAACACAAGAACCCCAAUGUUAAGAUUAAAGGGGUCAGAUCCCAGAGACAAAUGGAAGUUAGAUGGCCCCGGUGUAGAGAUAAUGGUAACUAUAUAAAAUCCUCCAUUUUAGUUUAAAAGUAUCUCAGAACUUAAGUUCUCUCCACCUAGGCGUACCCCCAUUCCUGAUCUGUUAAUUCCAAUAGUUUUCCGUCAAUUCCAAAUAUCCCGUCAUUCCAUUAAUACCGUCAAUUCCAAUAUUAUUCCGUCAACUCCAUCCUUGUAGGCCUCGGAGACACCAAGUCCACCCGAGCCUCAAUCCUCG